AGUGAACGCUGGCGGUAGGCCUAACACAUGCAAGUCGAACGGCAGCACAGUAAGAGCUUGCUCUUACGGGUGGCGAGUGGCGGACGGGUGAGGAAUACAUCGGAAUCUACUUUUUCGUGGGGGAUAACGUAGGGAAACUUACGCUAAUACCGCAUACGACCUACGGGUGAAAGCAGGGGAGCUUCGGACCUUGCGCGAUUGAAUGAGCCGAUGUCGGAUUAGCUAGUUGGCGGGGUAAAGGCCCACCAAGGCGACGAUCCGUAGCUGGUCUGAGAGGAUGAUGAGCCACACUGGAACUGAGCCACGGUCCAGACUCCUACGGGAGGCAGCGGUGGGGAAUAUUGGACAAUGGGCGCAAGCCUGAUCCAGCCAUACCGCGUGGGUGAAGAAGGCCUUCGGGUUGUAAAGCCCUUUUGUUGGGAAAGAACAGCAGCAGGUUAAUACCCCGCUGUUCUGACGGUACCCAAAGAAUAAGCACCGGCUAACUUCGUG
rnacentral:rRNA from 1 species